UCAGCCAUGUGUAUGGUUGGCAUGAGAAAAGAGCUAUACAAAAGGAGCAACCUUCUCACCCUCUUUACAAAUUAUUUCUUGUGAUUAAAGUGACAAUGAAAAUGAAACAAAUCACAGCUGUUUGUUACCAUUUUUUAAAGCAAGUGAAGAACCCCAAGCAAACAAGCACUACAACAGGGAGCUCUCAGAUGUUGACUCUCAUUUCUAGGCAUGAUCCCUCCGAAGCAGCAUUCAAAGCAUGGACAGGCGACCAAUGGUCUCUGAAGAAGAUGGAAUUAGUAAUUUUGUUCUCACUCUGGAACUUAAACUGCUACAUUUUUUCAUGCAAGAAAUUCAGCUAGAGAUUGCAACUGUACAGGAAAAAUAAAUCUUAGUAUGCCGGAUACCCUGGCACCAGAGAGCCUUUGAAACCUUCUCCUGUUUCUUCAACACCUGAUGGCGAUCGUUUGACUGGAGAUUUACAACUGACCUAAGACUCAAAUAGCUGAAGUUACAGAAGCUUGAAAUGGUGCUGGAUUCACUGGAGCAACAGUGUAACCGCCAUCCGAUGGCUGCUGACCAGUGAAAUGAGAUGGUAAUUUCUGCAUUCCAGUGGUCAAAUGUUCCUACCAUCAAAACCACCAACGCAUCUCAAGGAAAAAAGUUAUUUAGAGGCCUUAUCUUCUGGUGACAUUUGCAUAUGUUUGAGCUCUAACCACAUCAUUCACAUUACUAGCUUUAAUAGAAUAUCUCCUGUGAUAGUUUAUCCCAGGCUACAAAAAGUUUGAGGAGAUAAUUAACCAAGGCCUUCAUCCUGCAAGUUCUUACGCAUGCGAUGACAAUGCUCCCUGACACAAUAACAGUUAAAAAGGAAAACUUAUUCCAGAGAUGAAACUAGUUCAACACCUGAACAAUAUUUUCAAACUGUAAUAUACUCUCUCAGUAGCGAUUUCUUCUCUCAUUAGCCUUGUAAUUAGUAUUAUCAUCAAUGUCCCUAUUCAGAUGUGAAUGUGUACUAAUAGUAAUGCCCACAUCUGUAAGAACGGGCUUUAUGUGGAAAGGGGAAAAUCCUUUGGCAGGAAAUGUCUUUUUUUUUUUCUUAAACAAAAGAGAGAAUGGCAGUACUAUACUUUCAAAACCAACUCCCGGCAAAGAUGUAGUAUAAUUUAUUUUGAGAAACACUAAUAAGUAAUAAGCUAGGAAAAAAGAGAUUGUGCUAAAUUAUGGCUUGAAUUAUCUUCUUGAAAUUAUUACAAUACUCUUAAACCAAUUUAUUCUGGAUUAUUUUAACAGAAAAACAUUAUCUUACAGUUACAGACUAUCAGGAUCUUGCUCUUAGUGUAGUAAAUCACACACACAGAGAGGCAUAUUCAGGUAUGUAUACAGUUAUGCAUUUACCAAGCAUUUAUAUUUUCAUACUAUUACUUUCUAUUUACAUUUCUAACACAGCACAAUAUCCAAUUUCCAGGAAUCCUACUAAGACUAGUGAGAAAGAACCUGUGCUUAGGAAAAUACUUAAAAGGACAUUACCUAAAACUAGCUUGGCAACCUACUUUUUAGGCCAAAAAGGAUACGUUGCAAACAUGAAUGAAAAGAUCACAUAGUUCUCUUUAAAACCAAAAGUAGUUAUUUAAAUAUUAAGUUGUAUAAAUCUUGUAGAUAAACAAACUGAAAUUUCACUGGUAUCAUUUAAUACAACCAUUGAUGCAGGUGAGUUGCUAUUUACCUUCCUAACUUACUAUCAGUCACAUAUUAUAAAGAAAGACUUGCCACCCUCCCACCUCUGGUCUGUGUGUUUGCAAGCAAAAGGUGCCAUGAAAAAGAAAACUCCUGAAAAAAUUAUUUACCAGAAAUCCUUUUAAAGAGACAGAGGUAAAAUUAUUCAUCUUACAACUGAAAAAGUCUAUCAAAUGAAGUAGACAUUCUGUUUCUGCACUUAGGAUAGUUCAUUACAGUAUUGUCAGUAUUGCUUAGCCUUUGGGUACCUAAUGUCUUGGAAAUAUAGUAGAAUGUUCUAGCAGAAUCCUAUAAAUAAAAGAUGUCUGUGUUGUGGUUUUUGUUUGGGUUUGGGUUUUUUGUGAGUGGUGGUUUUUGGUUUUUUUCUCAGUAAGACCCCCAUCCCAAACUUUAAAAAGUAUUUGUGGUUUAAAACUUUUUACAGUUUAUCAAGUUACAUUGAGAAGAAUGUUUUUACUGCUAUUUUAUUAGUCCAUAAUAGAGAGUUUUAUAAGAUAAUUUUGAAAAAAGCAUCUUCAAUAAAACAUAAAAUAAUGACUUUGUGGGAGGAAAAUAACCCCUAUAAAUAAUAGCUACUUCUAUAAUGUUUGUGAACAGGUUUAACAUAUCAAUGUGUACAUAGUCAUAAUACAGACCAGUCAAUAAAACAGCAAGCCUCUAACUUUUUCAUGCUCAAACAAUGUUGCUUUUUAAUAGGUUUUGACUCAUGCUUUCUCCCUUCACUUCUGUCUAAGCGGCUA